rnacentral:rRNA from 2 species
GAAACGCCUUGCUCCAUCCCGAACCAAGAAGCUAAGCACAUCGUGGGUGAUGAUACUACGCCUUACUGGCAGGGGGAAAGUAGCUCAUUGCGGACUUGUUAAUUCUACUUUAUCUUAUUC